rnacentral:tRNA from 2 species
CGGGUGUAGUUCAAUGGCAGAACUUCAGCUUCCCAAGCUGGCCACGAGGGUUCGAUUCCCUUCACCC